GGUAGGUCGGGAGGUGUGCGCCUCUCCUGACGAGUCCAAAAGGACGAAACCUAUC
rnacentral:hammerhead_ribozyme from 2 species